rfam:Lupinus angustifolius cultivar Tanjil contig_50232, whole genome shotgun sequence.
AGGUCUGUAAGCUCAAAUUGGGAGAGCGCUCAGAGCAUUCAACAACUUUUUGAUGCUCUGAGAGGAUGGUGGUUCGAAUCCACCCGGAUCUA